AGGCAGUGUAGUUAGCUGAUUGUGUUAACAUAAAACUUGCAAUCACUAGCUAAACUACCAGU
rnacentral:pre_miRNA from 1 species